AUGGGCUGGAGCUGGAGAGCCCUCUUCCUGGUGGCAGUUGCUGCAGGUGUCCACUCAGAGUUGCAACUGGUGCAGUCUGAGGCUGAGGUGAGGAAGCCGGGGGCCUCAGUGAAGGUCCCCUGCAAGUUUUCUGGAUACACCCUCAGCAGCUCCUUCGUGCACUGGGUGCGAAAGGCCCCGGGACAAGGGCUCGAGUGGAUAGGGAUGGUUUACCCUGACUAUGGUAACACAAACUACGCACAGAAGGUCCAGGGCAGAAUCACCAUAACCGCAGACAAGUCCACGAGCACAGCCUACAUGGAGCUGAGAAGCCUGAGAGCUGAGGACACGGCCGUGUAUUACUGUCAGUCCGUCAUCAACCCAGACAUGUCCAGGAACCAGGAUUCCCUGCAGCUGAGCUCCAUGAGCACCGAGGACACAGCCAUGUAUUACUGUGUGACAGACAGUGAGAAGAUGUCAGCGUGA